rnacentral:lncRNA from 1 species
AUGAACGAAUAAACAAACAGAUCUACAACCAUCAGACAAGGGAGACAAAAGGAGGGAACUAUUGAUACAUGCAACAAAUUAGAUGCAUCUCAGACAUCAUAUGGAGUGGAAGAAGCCAGCUUCCAAGGCCACAUGCAAACCUGGAAUUCUCAUGAGAAUGAUUUUGGGAUUAGGGUGAAGGAACAGUGCCCCUCAAAUGCUGUACUGGACAAACAUCUCCAUGCCUAUCACCUUUGGAUCUUGGAGUUUCCAUGAAGAAUAUGAGGUCUUGUUGUGUUGUCCAAGCUGACCUCGUGAUCCUCCUGCUUCAGCCUCUGGACUCCACUGGGAGAGGACUACUAGAAGUUUGCUCUGGCGUCUCCUGAACCCUCGCCUCCUCUUCCUUUGCUAGUUUGAAUCUGUAUCCUUCACUGUAAUAAACCAUGAUCAUGAAUAUGCCUGCUUUUUGAGUUCUUUGAAUCCAUCUAGCAAAUUAUUGAACCUAAGGUGGUC